AUACAGAGGGUGCAAGCGUUAAUCGGAUUUACUGGGCGUAAAGCGCGCGUAGGCGGCUAAUUAAGUCAAAUGUGAAAUCCCCGAGCUUAACUUGGGAAUUGCAUUCGAUACUGGUUAGCUAGAGUGUGGGAGAGGAUGGUAGAAUUCCAGGUGUAGCGGUGAAAUGCGUAGAGAUCUGGAGGAAUACCGAUGGCGAAGGCAGCCAUCUGGCCUAACACUGACGCUGAGGUGCGAAAGCAUGGAGAGCAAACAGGAUUAGAAACCCCAGUAGUCC
rnacentral:rRNA from 1 species